rnacentral:rRNA from 1 species
AAGUCGUAACAAGGUAACCGUAGGUGAACCUGCGGUUGGAUCAUUAAAAAAAACUUUGUUAAAGUGGAAAGCGUCGAAUGGGCACACAAAACCCUUCAGGAUUGUACAAAAUCCGCUUUUCACUUUUCCAAAAUACACCUUGUGUGAACUUGAACCUGGUAUUUGGUGGGAUGCAAAAGCAGCAGUUGCCACCUGGCAAGUGCUGUUGCGUAUCUCAGCAAAUACCUUUUUUCUAGACUUUAUGUUCUGAAUUAUUUAAGCCUGACAUUUUAUCUGUAUAAAUAUACAAAACAACUUUUGGCAACGGAUCUCUUGGCUCUCGCAACGAUGAAGAACGCAGCGAAAUGCGAUAAGUAGUGUGAAUUGCAGGAUUCAGUGAAUCAUCGAAUCUUUGAACGCACAUUGCGCUUCCUGGUAUUCCGGGGAGCAUGCUCGUUUCAGAAUCAUUAAAAACUCACAAUCUUUCUGUGCUUUUAGCACAGCUAGCUGCGUGGAUCUGGGGUGUGUUUCGUUGCUCUUGAGCGCGAUCGCCUUAAAAGAAUUGUAUGCAUGUGGAUCCCCUCUUGUGUGGGGUGUCACAUCAAAGUGCAACAGAGAUUUUAUCUUUCUUACAUUUUGGUGAAACAUCACAAACAAGGCAGGCCGUCGUGCAUAUUCCCAAUCAACACAUUGUUGGGGAGCAUUUUCUUACUCCCUAGCCUUGAAACUUGGUCUGAAAUCGAGCAAGAAAACCCGCUGAACUUAA